GUAACUGCGAGGUUACAUCUGAAGGAAGCGAGACUACAAAGCUCGGUACUGACGGACAGGAACCGUAUAUGAGGCAUUUAUGCAUGGGUAAGCAAGCACAUCAUUGUAACGCCC
rfam:Arenibacter sp. C-21 DNA, contig: C21_contig0043.